rnacentral:lncRNA from 1 species
UUUUGCAGCACUCUAAUCACUCUAAAAAAACGCAGCUGAAUUCCAGGUUCGAGUAGAUUCAGACCCUUUCACUAAAGUGAGCAUAACUCACUCAAUUGUUGUCCGUUUUACCUCAUUCUUUUUCCUAUGUGCUUGGAUUGAUCUUGGCUUCGAUUCCAUGGGUUUUUCACAAUAAAUAAGUCCUUGGAACUCCGGAAAAAAAGACUCCAAAGUUCACUGUUCAUUUCUGAUUUCAUCUAAUCUUUACUAAACUUGUUCAACUUGAGUCUAACUCAUCUCAAACCUAUGUCCUUAUGCUUAUAACCACCUCUAUGGUUAGUUAGGCUUAAAAACAAUGUUGAGACAUACAAAAUCAGAGGUUAAUCCUCAAAUACUUUCUGUUUUGUUUAGGGUUUUUGACCCACAAGUGGUGUUCAAGCUUCAAGCUUGAUAAAGGUGUGAUUAUGGACUAACUUGGGUUGUCCAACAUAAAAUCCCCACAUCUCUUGAUGAUUUCUCAUAGUGUAAAUGUUUCUUAUUCUUGUAUUGAUAUUAGUUCAUGACCCUCCUUGUAUGUUUUUACAUCAAGUGUAGUGGUGAACCAUAAGAGGUACCUAAAUGGAAGCUUGUUCUUCCUACCUCCUACAUGAAUUCUAUGACACAAUAGAGGUACUUAAACGAAGAUUAAUCUUCUACCUCAUGCUUGAUUAUUGGACUUAAUAAUAUGUAUAUAAUAUAUGUAAUAUAUAAACGCAUAAUCCAAAUAAUCGAAUCUUAGAUGAUGAACUAGUGUUCAUAUGUCAAGAACUAGAUUACAUCAUCCUAUAGUAUGAUAACUUGUUACGAUUCUAAUGGAACCUUGUUCCAUGAAACCAUAUAAACUCCUUGGAGUUACAUAGUGUCAAGAACAAGUAUCAUAUGAUUUAGAUGAUCAUUUUCACAUGUUAUUCCCAUAUGUUAUUUUCAUGUUGUCUUAAAUUUCGAAUCUCGACUCUAAACCUACCUUAAACUUUAACCCUUAUACAUUCGGACUCCAAAUCUCACUACUCGUCAACGAUUGGAUAAUCGGAAGGCAUAUGCAAAUUUUGUUGAUGAUGAUGAUGCUAUGAAAUGAAGUAGCGAUGAUGCCUAGAUACACAUAUAGACGUUUAAUUUUAAAUGUUGUAUCAAUUUUGAUUAUGUUGUUAUGUAUUCCUUUUGAACUUGUUGUUAUUU